rnacentral:snoRNA from 1 species
CCGCUGUGAUGAUUUGACCUAAACCAUUCGUAGUUUCCACCAGAAGAUUUUGUGUUGGCCAACUUCUUCCUUGGAUGUCUGAGCGA